GAUGAACGCUGGCGGCGUGCCUAACACAUGCAAGUCGAGCGAUUCUCUUCGGAGAAGAGCGGCGGACGGGUGAGUAACGCGUGGGUAACCUGCCCUGUACACACGGAUAACAUACCGAAAGGUAUGCUAAUACGAGAUAAUAUGCUUUUAUCGCAUGGUAGAAGUAUCAAAGCUUUUGCGGUACAGGAUGGACCCGCGUCUGAUUAGCUAGUUGGUAAGGUAACGGCUUACCAAGGCGACGAUCAGUAGCCGACCUGAGAGGGUGAUCGGCCACAUUGGAACUGAGACACGGUCCAAACUCCUACGGGAGGCAGCAGUGGGGAAUAUUGCACAAUGGGCGAAAGCCUGAUGCAGCAACGCCGCGUGAGUGAUGAAGGCCUUCGGGUCGUAAAACUCUGUCCUCAAGGAAGAUAAUGACGGUACUUGAGGAGGAAGCCCCGGCUAACUACGUGCCAGCCGCCGCCGUAACAC
rnacentral:rRNA from 1 species